UUUCUUUUUCUUUUCUUUUCUUCUUUCUUUCUUUCUUUCUUCUUCUUUCUUUUCUUUCUUUCCUUUUCUUUUCUUCUCUUCCUGUUUCUUCCCGAAGCUUCUCCCUUACUUUCUUCUUUCUUUUUUCUUCUCCUCCUCUUCUCUUCUCCCGACUCCUCCUUCCUCUCUUCUCCAUUCUUCUCCCACGGAGGGAGGAGGGCGAGGUCUGCAGGAGCUGAACCAUGGCCGGCGGCGUCCAUGGCAAUCGACCCUCUCCUUCUUCCCGCGAAGGAGACGCGCACGGGAGAAGAAGAAAAGCCGCGGCAGUUGGCCUUCUCCUUCUUCCCUUUUUCUUCUUCUCUUCUUUUCCUUUCACGAUUCAUUAGAUCUCCCCUCUUUUCCCGCGAAGCAAAGGGGGAAGACCUCCAUGCCGGAUCGCUUGGGAGGUGAUCGGCCGAGGCCGACAACGCCCGCGACCGGCCAGCAGUGCCCGCAGGACGGCUGUGGCUGAGCCUGCAACCGCUUCCCGCGAUGGAUCCGCCGUCGAAGACCACAGGUAAAGCCCUUCCCCUUCCCUUCCUCUUCUUCUUCUUCUUCUUCUUCUUCUUCUUUUCUUUUCUUUUCUUUUCUUUUCUUUUGUAAUUGAUCUAUCCUCCCAUGUGGAUCGGGAGGAGGAAAUGCAGGAAAGAAAACAGGUGGUCAGGGGCUUACCUGGCUUCGGGGAUGAACUGCGACGCCCCUCUCCGGCGGCAUCAACGUGGGUUCAGAAAACCCUAUCAUUGAGGAAGGAUGUUCGAAGCUUUUAUAGCCCCCGGAGAGUUAGAGGCCGCAACGGCCAAUAGGCCUGGCCUACUGGUCUAGCUGUAUGCGGGCCGGUUAAUGAACUGGGCUCUCACAAAUAGUGAUAGGGGGAACUUAUAAGAGGACAUUUCUGCAUAAAGGACAAAACCAUGGCCUUAUUAGUAAAUGAAUCAAUUAAUCUAAAGACAUGGAUUUUAGUCUAAAGAUCCUCCCACUAUUUUAUACGAAUCAGGAGCCUCUACCUCUAAUCCGAAGAAUUACUCUUAAUUCUUUAGUGGGCACUAGAAUCCAAUAGGCUAUACCUGGGCCCGGCUUUGGUCGGUAUCAACCCAAAUACACCUAAAGGUAGGUUUAUAACAAAUUGUUUCAACUAAACAACUUCUAGUGAUCAUUUUGCCCCAGGAAGCACUUCAGCAGGCGUAUAUCGACACUACUGAAAGUCCCGGUUAGGUCCAACCAUUAACAUGUAGCAAUCAAUGCAAACUAUCUAAUAGAUGGUCAAGCCCGACUUUGGCCGGUAUCCAACCGGACCACCCAUUCCAAUAGUUGCAACCGACUCAUCAUUAGUGUAUGACAAUUCCAAUGGCCGAUACGCACCAGUGUGCGCACGCGCCUCCAAUGUAUAUAGACGUAUUGGACUCAUUAUCACACAACUAAUGGGAGGCUAUGACGUGGUCAUCUCCAUUAACCAUAUCAUUUUAUGGACCUAAUAAUUUAGAGGAUUUUUAUAAUAAAAAGCUGACUCAAUCCAAAUCCUCCCUCUGACUUCAUAAGUCAGGUAUCAUAGGAAAUAGAUUCAAGUCAGUGCACCUAAAUCAGUCCAACUGAUUUUCUUACAGGCAUGGGUCAAUUAGAGUCAAUCAGAGAUCUGAUCAAAAGAGAUUCACCAAGAUGGCCAGGUAAGUGAGAUCAGCGGAAGGGUAUGCCAUUAACUUGACUGGACCGAAACCCAGCAAGUAGCUCCCAAUUAAAAACCUACUGAUUACAGUUGCCUUUGACACCAACUGGUUUAUCAAUUUCAAUUCGAUCAAUAUCAUAACUCAAGCUCAACCACGAAGCCUAAAUCAACAUCCAUUUGGUCUAAUUNNNNNNNNNNNNNNNNNNNNNNNNNNNNNNNNNNNNNNNNNNNNNNNNNNNNNNNNNNNNNNNN
rnacentral:lncRNA from 1 species